GCGGCCAUGGUUAAGUGGUAUAACAGGACAUUGCCAAUGUUCAGUCGGGAGUUCGAUUCUCCCUGGCCGCA
rnacentral:tRNA from 1 species